ACAUUUAGCUCAACAAAAAAAAAUCAGACUCUUUCAGUAUACUUUCUCGUUCACCUUACACGGAUCCAACAAGUUUUUGCACAAUGACUUCUUAUAUUUCAUCUUUUAUAGCAAGCUACACCAUAGAGAAAUUAAAUACAUUGGAUCAGAGACCAUUAUAGAGCAAGACAAAAGCAGGUUCUUCAUCAGCCAACCUGUACUGUCCCUGUUGCAUCUCCCUUCCCGUCCAACCAAAUCACAUCGAGAGAUGUCCCAUGCGCAAAUGAUAUAGUGAGUGAGUCAUGCUUGCUGCUGCACACGCGCAUGUAUGAGAAAGAGAACAACAUCAGUUGUUGCUUCACACGGGAGAGCUGGCGGCCGCUGCUUCGAUGACCUGAAUUAGCAUAGGUGCACUUUAGAUGUAGCAAAAUCUGAACUUAUUUAAAAUGGGAAAUUGAAAUUUAGCAUGCUGAUUGAUACAUCUUUUUAAUAAGUAGUUAUCUAAAUGGGAAAUGAGUUUCAAUCGUAUGCUAGAAGAUGCCCCAUGCAAAAACUAGAAAUAUGAGUGAGAUAGAAAGAAUUGUUUCAACAAGUUUGUUUAAGUACAAAUACAUGGUGGUAGCAGUAUUCAAUGCAAAUGGGAGCUUUGUACAAUACUCCAUUGCAAGCAUCAUAUAGCUUGGAUGUAUGAAACACAACCAUCACCAAUUCACCAUGUUACUGUUCUGGGCAUAGGCAAUAUAGUUGCACUGAGACGCUUAACCAGAUGAACUGAGACAACCAAUGGAGGGAGGAGUUCUUGUCUUAAUAUAGGCAGCUUUUUUUUACAAAAAUGGCUCGAACAUCUUUAAAGAAGACAACAAUGACCACUUUUUUAACUGCUUGAGUAAACAACCGCCAACUUACAGCAGAUCACUUGAACUUAUAGGAAAUAGAAAAAAGAACUAAGCUUGCAUCAUCAAAAUCUACAGUUUUUUUUCUGAAGUGAUAACAUAUGUAGAACUUAGGUCAAUUGGUGUGACGCAAACAGUUGAACUAGUGUAACAUAUGUAGUCGAACGGAUGUAACUAUUUGUAGUUGAACCAAUUGGAGACCUGGCAACGCAACAACAUUUUCAUUCUAUGGUGUCUCGCACAUGGUUUGCUAGAACAAGUUGAACUGAAUAUAUUUUUCGUUUUGAACUUUGAAAGAAGCUACAACUUCUGUUUCCCAAAUGUCUACAAAAUUUUAAGUUUCCAAGCACAUACCUUUUGUUUCCUUUUUGUUGAUGGGCACAACGUCCCUACUCCUGCAGACUGGCGGCACAGCGAAUUGGAGCUGAAGAAGAGGGGAUCACGAGCGGUGGCUGGGUGCACCAGGAUUUGGCUGUUGUAGGGGAUCCUAGCUACUACCAAGACAUCCCCGAGGAGCUAGUAGAGGGGGUCACCGGCCAUCUGGUGUAAUUUUGAACUACUAGGUGCACCGGUAUUUGGCUGCUUUAGAGGAACAAGAGGUCAGAACAAACAUGAAUUAUAUAGGUUACAGAUUUUGCCUUCUAUAAUGAUGUGCUUCCUGGGCAGUCCAAAAGCAGCAGCCGUACAAGUUCAGUAGCCGCUCACCGUGAACACCUGCUCGAUGGGAAUUUGUACAAAUUGUUUGGAAUUAGAAAUUGAACUUUAGUAAAAUUAGAAACUGAACUGAAAAAGAAUUAGAAAUUAAAGGAAAAUAAAAUAAGAAACUGACUAAACUAAAAAUAAGAAUCAACUGAACUAAAAUUGGAAAUUGAACUGAAUAAAAAUUAGGAUGUUGUGGAUGUAAGAAGGGCUUCUCUUUUGCAGGUAGCUUAUGCGCCGUCGGCUAGCUUUGGUUGUAAGCGUCUAUGUUGUUUACACCUACCUGCUAAGGAUGACCAAACACUAUAUUAUAACCAUGGUUGUGAGUUCCAGAAAUCGGGAGGAAAUCAUCUCUCACAAAAGAAAGAACCAGAUGUGUUGAGGAUUGGUUUUCAGUUCACACCACUUAGGCUAGCCAUACUGAAGUAGUUGUGUUCCUCUCACUCACAUAUACUACAUGUUGAUGCUUGUCAUCUCGUUCGUUACAUACUACAUAGGCAGAGGCUACAUGUACUAUGAUCAAAUCAAAUAAUAUAAGACUCUAUAUGUAUCAGACCUGGCUAAGGACGCUGCUAGUUUUCUUGUCUUUGCCAGUGACGAGGGAGUCCUCAGUGUACUACGUACGCCGCAGCGGGUGUUGUGUCUUGUCCUAAAUCCCGGGUGUACAUAUGUACGCGUCGCCUCGGACGGUGGCCCUUCCUUCCUUAUGCCUUGCGGUCACACAGUGGUCAAACUAGUUAAGUUUUGUUCUUUUUAAUUCAAAAAAGCAGGUGAAACUACUAGCAAAUAAAUGGAGAUUAAUCACUGAAAACUGAAUGCCAC
rnacentral:lncRNA from 1 species